rnacentral:rRNA from 1 species
UACGAAGGGGGCUAGCGUUGCUCGGAAUCACUGGGCGUCAAGGGUGCGUAGGCGGGUCUUUACGUCAGGGGUGAAAUCCUGGAGCUCAACUCCAGAACUGCCUUUGAUACUGAAGAUCUUGAGUUCGGGAGAGGUGAGUGGAACUGCGAGUGUAGAGGUGAAAUUCGUAGAUAUUCGCAAGAACACCAGUGGCGAAGGCGGCUCACUGGCCCGAUACUGACGCUGAGGCACGAAAGCGUGGGGAGCAAACAGG